rnacentral:rRNA from 1 species
ACACGAAGUGAGUGGCGAACGGGUGAGUAACACGUGGGUAACCUGCCCAGAAGUAGGGGAUAACACCUGGAAACAGAUGCUAAUACCGUAUAACAGAGAAAACCGCAUGGUUUUCUUUUAAAAGAUGGCUCUGCUAUCACUUCUGGAUGGACCCGCGGCGUAUUAGCUAGUUGGUGAGGUAAAGGCUCACCAAGGCAGUGAUACGUAGCCGACCUGAGAGGGUAAUCGGCCACAUUGGGACUGAGACACGGCCCAGACUCCUACGGGAGGCAGCAGUAGGGAAUCUUCCACAAUGGACGCAAGUCUGAUGGAGCAACGCCGCGUGAGUGAAGAAGGGUUUCGGCUCGUAAAGCUCUGUUGUUAAAGAAGAACGUGGGUAAGAGUAACUGUUUACCCAGUGACGGUAUUUAACCAGAAAGCCACGGCUAACUACGUGCCAGCAGCCGCGGUAAUACGUAGGUGGCAAGCGUUAUCCGGAUUUAUUGGGCGUAAAGCGAGCGCAGGCGGU